rnacentral:rRNA from 1 species
AACGAACGUUGGCGGCGUGGAUUAGGCAUGCAAGUCGCGGGAAUCCCAGCAAUGGGGGAACCGGCGUAAGGGGCAGUAAUGCGUGGGUACCUACCUUGGGGUCCGGGAUAGCCGUCCGAGAGGGCGGGUAAUACCGGAUGACCUCGGGAGAGCAAAGCUCCGGCGCCCUGAGAGGGGCCCACGUGAUAUUAGCUAGUUGGUGAGGUGACGGCGCACCAAGGCGGAGAUGUCUAGCGGGUGUGAGAGCACGACCCGCGCCACCCGCACUGAGACACUGGCGAGACACCUACGGGUGGCUGCAGUCGAGGAUCUUCGGCAAUGCGCGCAAGCGCGACCGAGCGACGCCGCGUGGGCGAUGAAGGCCUUCGGGUUGUAAAGCCCUGUCGAGGGGGAGAAAAGGGUAAAACUUUGAUCUAUCCCUGGAGGAAGCUCGGGCUAAGUUCGUGCCAGCCGCCGCGGUAACAC